rnacentral:tRNA from 1 species
GCCUGGCUACCUCAGUUGGUGAAGCAUCCGACUUCAGCUUGGGUCUUGAUCUCAUGGUUCGUGGGUUCAAGCCCCACGUCGGGCA